AUAUUAAUAAAAUAAUUAUUUAAUUAUAUAAUUAAAAAUAUAAUAUUUAGUUAUUUUAAGAUUUAUUUAGUAUAAUAAAAAUAGUGUACAAAGAACUUUUCAAAAAUUUAUGAAAAUGUUUAGGCCCGCAUCGCGGACAAAACACCUAGUUCAUCUAUAUUUAAGAUGUUUAAUUAAACAUAUAUUAGAUUAGGUAAUUCUAGGACUGGUUUCUUUUUAAAAACUUUAGUUAAAUAAAUCAAAAGAUAAAAACAAUCAAUCAAUCAAAUUAUAAAGAUUAAUUGGAAAGCUCUUCUAUGCAUCAACAAAAAUCAUUUAAAUGACUUCUCAAUUAAUAUAUAAGAAGAUUUUGUUUUUUUUUAAUUUAAAAAUAUUAAAAACCCUACCUAAGCAACCGCGUUAAUCAUCUUUUAGAGAGUGUUGGAACGAACUAGUUGUCGAACAAAAACAGUAUUAUUUAGCAAAAAUGUUUUUUUUGGGCUUGGUGAUGGACUAAAGCUCAACCUAAUUAUCUUAAGUUGGAUCAUCCUCAAAUUAAUCUUUUUUCGCUGACAUACGACAAAUAUUUUGCUAAUACUGUUUUCUUCACUAAUUACAACUUACAACAGUAUAUGAAAGAAGAAGACAAAAACAUGGAAUAGAAUUAGUCACGAACAAAACAACGUGGCCAUUAUAUUUUCUUUACCUUUAUACUUGUUGUGGAACAUGAAUGUAUUUUAGGUGUUUAAUUAACAAAAAGACUGUCCUCUCAUCCUCUGGUUAGGUCGCCCUUUCAAAUACUUUCUUGUUAAAAAAAAAACUUGUUUUAUUUCUGAAUUUUUAAAAGAAAAUGCUUACUUAACGAGAUAUCUAAUUUGUAAUCCACACUUUAUUGUUUUUCUCCAAUACUUAAACGAAAAGGAGACCAGGUUCAACGAACCUGUAACUUUUAAGUCUACAUAACCUUUGGAAAAAUUAUCAUUUAUAUAAUAAACUUUCAAAUUUGGUUGAAAAAAAGCAUGAACUUUUUCUUGGACUAUUUAAAAUAUCAACUUAGUUUGAAUAACAAUUUUAAACUUCAAUUUAGUUUGACUAAACCAAAUUAAACACGACGUUAACUCGGGUAACGGAUUGAUUAGACGAGAUUAACUGCCGUCUCUAAUCUCCGUUAAGUCCAAACGACGUCGUUUUAAACUUUUUUUAAAAAUUGCAUAUGGAUCAUUUAAAACACCAACUUAGUUUUUUUUUUUACGUUGGAUUCAAUAUCAAUGGUGUAAAGAGUAGUAAUACAAUGUCCCCCCAAAAGCAACACACACCUCCAAACAGAGGAUUGAGAAGAAAACAAAAGGAAAGAAAGUAAGAAGAAGAAAAACACCAGUAAGUGCUGUAAAUAAUAACCGAAGACACGAUCAGGUUACGGAACAAGGGUCCACCGCAGCUAAGUUCCAACGAUUCUACACACGAACCACCGAAUUCAACUCCUCCUCUCGUAAUAGGGAGCUCAGCCAUGUAGGACCACCAGUAGCUACGUAAGAUUGGUAGCGAUGAUCCCUGGUCACACUUAGUGCAAUAGAAUUGGCAAUCCUGUUUCUGCCAGCAACUACAUGUUCCUCUACUUAGUUUGACUAACCAAAUUAAACACGACGUUAACUCGGGUAACAAAUUGAUUAAACGGGGUUAAUCGCAGUCUCUAAUCUUCAUUAAAUCCAAACGACGUCGUUUUAAUUUUUUAAAAAAAAAUUGAAAGGAAUCAUACCUGUGACCAAACAAUAACUAAUAGAUAUUAUUAUGAAACCUCCAAAUCAUUUUCUCACACCCUAAAUCCGUAAAUUAUUUUAUAAAUAUUAAAACUUGUGAAUAACUUAAUAGUUAAAAAAUUUGGUGAGUAUUAUUAAAAAUAUUAAACUUAUAAAUAACUUAAUAAUUAUAAUACUUCACUAAAAAUAUUAAAACUUGAAAUAAUUAUUAAAACUUAUAAUAAUUAAAACUUAUAAAAAAAUAAAACUUAUAAUAUUUAUUAAGUUAUUUAUAAGUAUCAUUAAAAAAUAUUAAAUAAAGAAUUUUUUAAUUAUUAAGUUAUUUAUAGGUUUUAAUAUUUUUAAAAGUACUCAUGAAAUUUUUUAAUUAUCAAGUUAUUUACAAGUUUUACUGUUGGUAUUUUAAAUGGUCCAGAUGCAAUUAAAAAAAAUUAAAGCGACGUCGUUUGGACUUAAAGGAGAUUAGAGAAGACGAUUAACCCCGUCUAAUUAAUCCAUUAUCCGAGUUAAUGUCGUAUUUAAUUUGGUUUAGUCAAACUAAAUUGAGGUUUAUAGUGAUUAUUCAAAUUAAGUUGGUGCUUUAAAUGGUCCUAAUGAAAGUUCAUGUUUUUUUCAACCAAAUUUGAAAGUUCGUGAUUUAAAUGAUAAUUUUCCCUUUUUCCCUUUUUUUUGGUAUGGGCUAUCGCCAUGAUUUUCCAACGUAAGCAUGCUUAAAAAGACGAAAUGUAAUUAUAAAUAUAGUCCUAUUCCAUAUUCGAAAAAAACUAAUUAAAAAGAAAGUAGUACUUAGCUUUCCAUCUACUUUCUUGCAAUUAAAAAAUAAGUUGGUGAAACCUAUUUUUAUACUUUUGAAUCGUAUAUGAUAUAUCGUAUCACCAUAUAAUGCAUAUGGUUUGAGCAGAGAGCUAAAGAGAGAGAGAGAGAGAUGAUCCCCAUGCCUUCUCCAGAGACUCAUGAUCACUUCAUUCUCGAUCGAUCAAAGGUUGAAGAAGAAGUGAAGCAUAGAUCAACAGCAUAUACAUGAUGGCAAAUGAUAUGUUUAAAAUCAGAAAAUUUUCAAUCUGGAUUUACUAGUUGAUGGUAUUGGGUUUGAGUUUGAUCGAAUAUAGAUGGACAUCUCUUUUCUUAAGGUUGCUUUGAAGAAAAGGAUGGGAGAUGCCCAUGCCUUGAGUCUUGAGGCAAGUAAACGAUCACCAGUUCCCCCUUUCAAAACUUCAAUCUCUUUGUUAAACACGAGUACUAUUACAUAACCCAUCUUUUGAUUUUUAUACAAAAGCUCACGUUUUUCUUUCAUCGUUUACGUAUGAAUUGAAGUUAUGCAGUUCAAUUCGAUUGUUUUAUGAAAUGUAACUUCUCAUUCAAUAUUUGAUGUAGUGUAUAGGGAAUCCCAAAAAGAUAAAAAGAAAACCAUAUAAAAGAAAAAAUAUAUCGUUUGCAUGUUAAAAGGAAUUAUCGUCGAUACAUUUAAAAUUGUUCAGAUCAACUGUAGAAUUAAUAUAUGUGAUAAAUCUAUGUUUAUGUUUCUAUGUAUCAGCUGCAAAUUAUAACGUUUAGGAUAGUUUAAUCAAUAGUAAGUAAAUUUUGAAGCUAUGAAAUAUAUAAGGUGUAUACUUGCAUACCAAGCCUGAAUAGAAGCCCAUAAAGCAUAUGCUUUGGGGCAGGCGAGAUAAUCUAUACAAUACUAAAAGUUGAAUAAGCUCAACACCUAAGGUGUCCACAUCAGAUUAAAUAAUCCACCAAUCACAGACAAUAUUUUCGCCACGUCAUUUAAGCCCAUGUCGAGAUUUAAUGUUGGGUUUCUUAGCCUAAACCCUAAAUUAUUUUGUCAUGGCCCAAAAUAAAGUCCACCACCCGUGGCUUCUUCGAUCAUAUUUUCCUCCGCCAGUUUCUCAGUUCGUCUUUUCCAAUUCGAGUUCAUUCAUGAAGCCUCCGUUACUGUGAUCCACUUAUAAUCAAUCAAUUGUCUUCUUUACUUCCGUAUUUAUUUAUGCGUUUCACCUCGCUAUCUAUCUACUUCUAUAUAAACCGGUUCCUCGAAGCUUGCUGCCAUUCGAUUGAGCAAAGAGAUUCAGGUUUCGUUCUUUGGAAAAUUUUGAUGCUGAUUGCAAUAACAGAGGUGUGUUUUCUGCAAAAUAUUUACCGGGAAGUUUUUGUUGCAAUUUUCCAUUUCAUUUUACCUCGCGUAUUACGAAGUCGAUAAUCGGUUUUUGAGUUCAUGUCGUUAUAUGUUUUUCAUUAGAUAUUUAUGUUUGGGCACAAAACUGAUUUUUCAGAAAUCUGUGAUGGUGCUAAGUGGCUCACGGGGAUUCUGUUACACAUUGGAAUUGAAAAAUGAGCAAGAAGCAAAACAAAUGAAGAAGAAGAAGAUUAGAACUCACUUUCAUGCUAUUUUGUUAACUGGCGGUUGUUGAGUAAUGACUGGAAACCGUUUCAUGGAUAGAGGCGUGAGCAAGGAGUUGAAAACCCAAUAGCUUCUGCAACUCUAGCUGGUGAUUUAGGAAUUGGGGCUGAACAGCUUCUGCUGAUGUGAAAAGAUCACACCUUGCUUCUCUGCAGUAAUGUAGAAGGUAAGUUCUCUGGUCUCUUUGUUGGCUUUUCUGUAUUUUAUCAUUUUGGUCUGCACUAUUGUUUUUGUUUGUGGAAGAUUCAGGGUAAAUGAUGAUGAUUUGCUGAAGAUCAAGAACACUUAUCGUCCUAUCCUCUCAAGAAAGAGAAAGGGUUUAUGCUAUGGCGUUCCAAAUCUUAGUCAAUCACUCAAUCUCCCGUAGUAGCCAUCAAAGGCAAGAUAGAAAUAGCUUUGGGUUAGGUCGCAAAACUCAAAGAAAAAAAAGAAACAAAGCUGGAGAAACUUAAAACGCUUUCACUGGGAGAUUGGAAGAGCAUAUGUCCACGAAUAACUGCUUAGGCAAUUGUAAAAAUAUUUAGAGUAAUACAAAUCACAUUUGUAUUUCCUACAAGAAGAUUAGUUAAGUCUAUCAUGCGGUCACUUCCUCAUUUGUUGUUAUCUUGAUUUUCUUUAUGAUAAAACCAUAGCUAGCUCUUUUAUUUUUCUUUUAAUUUACUUAAUAUUUGGUUUGAUUGUAAACUUUUCUAUUGACACAGACUAAAAGAAAGACAGUUAAUUAAAAUAGAAGCAUUUUAUCUAAACAAAGCAGAAAUGACAAAGCCAAGUUUUAAUUUAUUUAUUUCACAAUUAUCAUUCCUCUUCUUGAAAAUAUCUAAAAUAAUAUACCUCGAAAAUCACAUGUGUCGUAAUGUCACUUCUUAUCGUAUCUAAAUUAAUCUUAACUUGUGUGAACAUCAACUUCAACCCAUCAAACUAUAUUAAACAAAAAUCAUUAUAUUAAAAAGAGACCUGACAACGCGUACACAAAUCAUAAGACUGGGAUAAGCCAAAGAGCAUUAAACAAACCAUAUCAAAUACAUAAUGUAAUUGGUUAUCAAUUAGAGUAAAAUGGUGGGAAAAUAUGGUGAAAACGAGAGGGAUAGAAAAAUAAUAAAAUUAGAAUAAUUUUUUUUCAUCUUAUUAGUAGUCGAGGUAAGAUUUACUCUAUUUUACUGUUUUUGUUUCUCAUUUUUUAGAGUAAAUGAAAUAGAAUCAUAUUCCACUUGAUUGGAUGAAAGAAGAAUAAAUGGGCUGAAAUAAUUUUUCAUCCGCUUUAAUUUACUCUAACUUUACCAUAUAGUCAUACGAUAUAUACCGACUAAAAGAAAGAGAACAUCAAAAUAAAAAGGAUUCUUUUUUUGCCAGCAAACAAAACAAACUCAUGUAGACUCUGCGAACCACCCCGGUAGCUCUACAUCUAUAUGAACGACAAAUGACAGUUGCUUCCUUGCAUUGCGUGCGAGACUGUCCGCCUUUGAAUUCUGUGUUUGUGGUAUAUGAAUGAUCUCUGAACUGUUGAAACUCCUAUUCAAAACUUUUAUGUCUUCCAAAUAGCUUGCAAAGGUUGGCCACUCUUCUGGUUCCGAAACCAUCUUCACCAAUUGAGCACAAUCCGUUGCAAAAGCAAUCCAGAAAAAAUUAAAAAAUUAACUUACAUCGAAAAAUAUUAGUGUGGAGAACGAAAAUCAUAAAAGCCCUUUUUCAAAAAAAAAAAAGAGUGAGAAGCAAAUAUUGUCUCUAUACCUUCAGGGCCGGCUGAGUAGGGAGACAAACAGUGCGACCGUCUCGGGUCCAAGUAUGUGGCCCCCGUAUAUUAAUAGUUAAGGAGCCUAUUUUUUUUAUAUAUCUAUAUUUUUAGACAAAAGAUUAGAAAAUAUAACAAAGUAAAUUGAAAACGGCCCAAAAAUAUAUUUUUAAAGUAUAUAGUUUUAUUUUCAUCGGAAAAUAUAUACAGUAUGAUUAAAAUUUUAAAAUAUUUUAAACAUUAAAUAAAUAUAAAUAUCAAAGGGUACAAAAAAAUAUUUUCGCCCUAUGACCAUUGUAACUAACACGAAGAAAUCGAGAAAGAUAAAUUUAUGGAGAUGACAAAAAUAUAUAAAUUUAUGAAAUCUCACAAUCCAUGGUACAUCUGAACCAUAGGAAUUAAGACUAACGAUGCAUUCAUAUGUCAAAGUUACGGGAACAACAACAAUACUCUCAAUCAAGGAAUGUUCCUAAGACGCCUCCCUAUAUUUUGGUUGAAAAUUACAAUCAAUUGCUACAUUUCCCACUACAAGUGCAUACCUACUAAGUAACUUCUCAAAUUUAUUUUUAAGGGAAAAACGUAAAUUGAAAUAAAUUAUUUUUAAAACAAAUGGGGUAAAUACACAUUAUACAAAGAAUCUAUCUCCAAAAUUAAUAAACGAAAAUAAAAAUUGCAAUAAGCUUACUUAUAAACACGCAUAUACUAAAACUACAAUUAUACCGACAAAAUAGUCACCUAGAAUGGAGCUUUCAUAUUAAGAAGUUAUUGCAUGUCAAGAUUUAUACCUCUCUCUGUAUGGGAUUAAGAAGCGGCUAAUUUCAAACGGUUAAUAAAAAUUAAAGAACGAAAGUUUCGAAGUUGACGUAUUCACUCGGCUAAUCUGAUUGGAGUGUGUAUAAGAUAUUAAGAUAACAAACAAUCAUAUUGUCGACAAACAUUAAUAUAAAAACAUAUAUUUUAUUCAUACUGAGUUUGAGAGAAACAUUAAUACCCACCCCAAUAGCAACAACACAAAUUAAUUCUGCAUGGGAAUGUUAGAAGUUUGAGAGAAAAAAUACUUGAUAAAAUAAAAUACAAAUAAUAAAUACCCACAUACAUUAAAGAAAACACAAACUCCAAACAAUCAUUAUUUUUCCUUUAUUAUUUUAUUCAUACUGAGUUUUUGGAUUACUAAUAUGUAACAACACUAUUAAAAAAAAGAUGUAUGUACAUAUUAUCUAAAAAAUCCUUAUUUUACAACUUAAAAAUAAUGAUAGAAAUAAAAAUUCACAAUGGGUUGAAAACUAAGAAAUAAAAACAACCUCAUAAAUAAAGAAGAUGUCAAAACAAGACAAAUACUCCCUCUGUUCCUGUUUUACAGAAUUUUGAUGUUCCAAUAUAUAAGAUGUUUUUAUUUUUUUAGGUAACUUUUACUUUAUUAAAAACUGUGUACUCAAUCAUAUUUUAAUGACAUUUUUUAGAUAAAAAAUAGUUUUUUAAUAUCUGUGUUUCUACCUAAACAUCUUAUAUUUAGUAACAGAAAAAUUAAAAGUUAAUAUAAAUUUUAAAAAAUAUUUAUAACACACAAUCCGUGCGUAGCGCGGAAAAAUGAUCUAGUAACAAUAAGAGGCCAAAAAUAACUUGAAAUAUUGUGUAGUUUUACUAGUAACAUUGUUUGUUGGUAGAUGUACAGACCCGGAUUCAAACUUCCCUCCUACUUGAAUAAGGUUUCCAUUAUUUUUAAAAGUAAAAAGGGCCAAAAAAAAAUUUUUGGCUUGUCGGCCCAGAUUUAUCAGGCACAGCCCUGUAUACUCGGUUUAGAGAUAAGAUACAUAUUAUGUUUUAUUAUUCUGAAGCCGUUGAUGUUUCAUAUCACAAAUCAUUCGAUAUCAAUAUGUCUAUGUUCACAAGGUUUACCCUUGUACACAUUCUUAUAGAACAUUCAUGAAAAACUUUAGAUUCGUAGAUGAAAUCGCUAACCCGAUGACCUCACUGAUAUCAAGAAAUCAAAUCGAGGAGCUAAUCCAAGAUGUGGUAAUGUCAAAACAACAUUUUCUCAUAAUGAGUUAAUUUGUCAUUGUGUUGCUUGUUGUCAUCAUGCUUCAACCACUUGUAUCAUUUUUCUAAAAGCUGACUUUUGAAACUUGUCUAAUCCUUAAUAUAAACGCUAGAGAAAAAAACUCAAAAGUCACUUCCAAUGAUCAAAAAUCAAAGUGUGAAACCUUUUUCUGUUGACGGACAUUUCAAAGGUACGUAGAAACAAAUUAAAUUGAUUUUAGGUGAUUUUUUUUUCUCGGUGAUAUUAAACCAAACUGAAAGGAAUACAAGGUCGAUACGUUAUUAGGACACCAAAACCAGCUUUGAAACAGAUGAAACUGGAGACAUAAGCUCCCAUAGGAGAAACUACAGCCCAACAAAUAGGAAACUUUCACUAAAGGCUAACAUUGAACCAAAGGAUUGAAAUGAUUAGGAAAGGCGAGAGCAGAGAGAAACGAGAUGCUAACGCAUACCUUUUAGGUGAUAUUCUAGAAUGGGUUUAACAAAAAUCACUUUAAACUUUGUAACUCAUAUAAAAUUAUAUAACACUCAUUAAAAAUAAAAUUAUUUUAAAACUAAUUAAAAAUCAAAUCACUUCAAACUUUAAAUUGAAUAUGGGAAUUCGGCCAAAAAAAACCUCAACUUUACACGAAUUGCCAAAACAAACCUGAACUUUGGGGCUGGCCAAAAAAAUACCAAACUUUCAUUGACUUUAGAAUUAAUUAACAAUGUUUUCGCUGACUUGCCAAUUUAGCACGCCGUCAACAAAUUUAACAGAAAUAUUUGACGUCGUUUAUUGUUGACGCUAAGUGAAACGACGUCGUUUUCAAAUGAGAUGAAACGACGUCGUUUUACACGAUUUGAAAUUAAAAAUAUGUAAACACCUGGAUUUGAACCCAGGCUGGUUGGUCAAAUGGGAAGAUAUUUUACCACUGGGCUACUGGCACUUUCAAUGUAUUUACUAACAUGUUAACUUUUAUUUGGUACAUAUUGAAUAUAAAAAAUUCUUUAAAAACUUAAUAAGAUCUUUAAAAUUCCAAAAAAUUAAAAAAUAAAGAAGAUUUUUAUAAAAUUAA